GACGAACGCUGGCGGCGUGCUUAACACAUGCAAGUCGAACGGAAAGGCCCUGCUUUUGUGGGGUGCUCGAGUGGCGAACGGGUGAGUAACACGUGAGUAACCUGCCCUUGACUUUGGGAUAACUUCAGGAAACUGGGGCUAAUGCCGGAUAGGAGCUCCUGCUGCAUGGUGGGGGUUGGAAAGUUUCGGCGGUUGGGGAUGGACUCGCGGCUUAUCAGCUUGUUGGUGGGGUAGUGGCUUACCAAGGCUUUGACGGGUAGCCGGCCUGAGAGGGUGACCGGCCACAUUGGGACUGAGAUACGGCCCAGACUCCUACGGGAGGCAGCAGUGGGGAAUAUUGCACAAUGGGCGGAAGCCUGAUGCAGCAACGCCGCGUGAGGGAUGACGGCCUUCGGGUUGUAAACCGCUUUCGCCUGUGACGAAGCGUGAGUGACGGUAAUGGGUAAAGAAGCACCGGCUAACUACGUG
rnacentral:rRNA from 1 species